CUAGAGCAACAUUUGAAAAGGGCGGAAGAGCCAAAAUGUAAACAAAUCACUUUUCAGCAUAAUUUGAUGAAACAACUCAUAAACAUAUGAUUUUUCCUGACGUUAGCUCAAAAAUGAGUUUCCACUUGUGGAAAACAAUAAUUUAAAUAAAGGCGGAUUUCCACAUCUGAUUUUGAUCACUUCAUUUGGUUGUUCCGCCAAUGAUCUAGCGCCUUUGAAAAAUAGCACAAAAAUGCACAAAAUUGUUAACACUGUUGAAUAAACAGUCGAGAACAGCAUCUCGCCAUUCAUAUUUAUCAAAUUUACACAAAAAUUUUACUCCUACUUUUGAUUAAAGUCGCCCCUAACUACUUACACCGUUAUUGAAAAGCCUUCGUCAUUACGUCGUGCUUAGGCGCCCAUCAAAAUGUCUGAGUGGAAAUCCGCCGCGCACUUAUUGCUCUUGUUGAGCACGGAUGGUUCUUACGCCCAAGAUCAAAUCGUGCGUUUUUCAUCGUAAAAUUCAAUGAAGUCGCUGACUGACUGCAAUAAGUGGCGAUAAUAUGGCUCCAAUGUCUAUUCAGGAUAUAUUUUCACCAAAGGACCCAGAUUUGGAUGAUAUGCAGCUGGUAAAGCUUCAGUGAUAAAAAUGUUAGCGAAUAGUCUUUAAUCUAUUGACCGGCCAAGGUCACAGCAGGUAGAUUCAGCAAAAGGUGAUAUUGGGAACCAGGCCCGUGCACAGAAAAGGCGACAAGGGAGGGGUUUUACCCAAUUUUAGCAAAGGGUGAAGGAGGCCUUGUGUAUAGAGUAUCGGCAACGGGAGGAGUUUAACCCCCCAAAACCCAUCCGUUGUGCACGGGCUUGUUGGGAACAUAAUAUGCUGCCUGCGCUUCCCCAUCGGUACUGUAGCUAUAUUUUUUUUUUCAACGCGCAUUAUGGACAAUGGCAGGGGCAACUCCCUCCUUUGCUGUACGAUACUAGAUAAACUGUAAAGAGUUGUUGUUCAUAGAUAAGAGCUAGAAUAUAGAUUUCAAUCGAAAUCUGAUUUCCAUUGCGUUUUACUCAUUGUUUUUUUACCACUCAUCGUAGGCAACGUCAAGAGAAAAUUUCCUUCCUCCUCCAUUGUCCAAUGUCAGAUAAACUUCAAUUAGUUACUUUUAGUUAAGAAAGCCUUAAAAAUCAAUUUAUUGCAGUGGAUUAGGUUCAAAAUCUAUUGCAUUCCACUAAUUUCGAUACAAAAUUUCUUCGGGCGUAACAACAAAAGCGAUCGAUUCUAGGUAAUAUCGACCAGGCGUAAUUCUAGUGCUGGCGACCAAGCGGCGUAGCAUGUCGGGCGUAAUGACCAAUGAGUUUUUAUUUGGGCGUAAUUUUCAUUUCAUUCAUUUUCUUCAAGGAAAAACGCUUGUUUGUACUUUUCGACAUAAAAUCACCAAGAGGAUAGUGUUUUCUUCUAAAACAACGAAAAAGAUUGAGUGCACACGCACAAAGUGUUAAA